GUCCUCGUAGCUCAGCUGGAUAGAGCAUCUGCCUUCUAAGCAGAGGGUCAUAGGUUCGAAUCCUAUCGAGGACGCCA
rnacentral:tRNA from 1 species